rnacentral:rRNA from 1 species
AGAGUUUGAUCCUGGCUCAGGAUGAACGCUGGCGGCGUGCUUAACACAUGCAAGUCGAACGAAGCACUUUAUUUGAUUUCUUCGGAAUGAAGAUUUUGUGACUGAGUGGCGGACGGGUGAGUAACGCGUGGGGAACCUGCCCCAUACCGGGGGAUAACAGCCGGAAACGGCUGCUAAUACCGCAUAAGCGCACAGUACCGCAUGGUACGGUGUGAAAAACUCCGGUGGUAUGGGAUGGACCCGCGUCUGAUUAGCCAGUUGGCGGGGUAACGGCCCACCAAAGCGACGAUCAGUAGCCGGCCUGAGAGGGCGACCGGCCACAUUGGGACUGAGACACGGCCCAAACUCCUACGGGAGGCAGCAGUGGGGAAUAUUGCACAAUGGGCGAAAGCCUGAUGCAGCGACGCCGCGUGAGCGAAGAAGUAUUUCGGUAUGUAAAGCUCUAUCAGCAGGGAAGAUAAUGACGGUACCUGACUAAGAAGCACCGGCUAAAUACGUGCCAGCAGCCGCGGUAAUACGUAUGGUGCAAGCGUUAUCCGGAUUUACUGGGUGUAAAGGGAGCGCAGGCGGUGCGGCAAGUCUGAUGUGAAAGCCCGGGGCUCAACCCCGGUACUGCAUUGGAAACUGUCGUACUAGAGUGUCGGAGGGGUAAGCGGAAUUCCUAGUGUAGCGGUGAAAUGCGUAGAUAUUAGGAGGAACACCAGUGGCGAAGGCGGCUUACUGGACGAUAACUGACGCUGAGGCUCGAAAGCGUGGGGAGCAAACAGGAUUAGAUACCCUGGUAGUCCACACCGUAAACGAUGAUUACUAGGUGUUGGAGGAUUGACCCCUUCAGUGCCGCAGUUAACACAAUAAGUAAUCCACCUGGGGAGUACGACCGCAAGGUUGAAACUCAAAGGAAUUGACGGGGGCCCGCACAAGCAGUGGAGUAUGUGGUUUAAUUCGACGCAACGCGAGGAACCUUACCAAGUCUUGACAUCCUGCGACGGUGCUGGAAACAGUGCUUUCCUUCGGGACGCAGAGACAGGUGGUGCAUGGUUGUCGUCAGCUCGUGUCGUGAGAUGUUGGGUUAAGUCCCGCAACGAGCGCAACCCUUAUGGUCAGUUACUACGCAAGAGGACUCUGGCCAGACUGCCGUUGACAAAACGGAGGAAGGUGGGGAUGACGUCAAAUCAUCAUGCCCUUUAUGACUUGGGCUACACACGUACUACAAUGGCGUUAAACAAAGAGAAGCAAGACCGCGAGGUGGAGCAAAACUCAGAAACAACGUCCCAGUUCGGACUGCAGGCUGCAACUCGCCUGCACGAAGUCGGAAUUGCUAGUAAUCGUGGAUCAGCAUGCCACGGUGAAUACGUUCCCGGGCCUUGCACACACCGCCCGUCA